AGGACGAACGCUGGCGGCGUGCCUAACACAUGCAAGUCGAACGAGGUCCAUCCGGUAGCAAUACUGGUGAAGAUCAAGUGGCGAACGGGUGAGUAGCACGUGAGCAACCUGCCCCGAAGACCGGGACAACACCGGGAAACCGGUGCUAAUACCGGAUAUCCCCACCGAGUCGCAUGACUUGGUGGGGAAAUGGAUUCCGCUUUGGGAGGGGCUCGCGGCCUAUCAGCUUGUUGGUGAGGUAACGGCUCACCAAGGCUUCGACGGGUAGCUGGUCUGAGAGGACGAUCAGCCACACUGGGACUGAGACACGGCCAGACUCCUACGGGAGGCAGCAGUGGGGAACCUUGCACAAUGGGCGAAAGCCUGAUGCAGCAACGCCGCGUGAGGGACGAAGGCUUUCUGAGUUGUAAACCUCUUUCAGCAGGGACGAUUGUGACGGUACCUGCAGAAGAAGCCCGGCAACUACGUGCCAGCAGCCGCGGU
rnacentral:rRNA from 1 species